rfam:Oryza glaberrima chromosome 2 Oglab02_0339_9, whole genome shotgun sequence.
AUUAAGUGCAGUUUUACACUAUUCAUGUUAAACAUUUGACUGUUCAUCUUAUUUAAAAUAUUUUUAUGAUUAAUAUUUUUAUUGUUAUUAGAUAAUAAAACAUGAAUAGUACUUUAUGUGUGACUAUUUUUUUAAUUUUUUUAUAAACUUUUCGAAUAAGACAGACGGUUAAAUGUUGGACACGGAUUUCUACGGCUGCAUUUAUU